rnacentral:lncRNA from 1 species
GUGCACAUGUGUGUGAUUGUUGGUCGUGCCUGUGUAUAUAUGUAUAAGCUAUGGUAUGUGCACGUGCAUGUGUGGAUAUAAGGGUGUGUGUGUGUGUGUGUGUGUGUGUGUGUGUGUGUGUGUGUGUGCAUGUGAAAAGGGGAAGGGCUUGUUUGUGAUGCUUUGCAGGGGAAGACCCAAGUUAGGGCUCAGCCCUUGUCCAAGUUCUGAGUGACAACCACGUGGAAAGCAGCCCCCUCCUGGGAUGCCCCUGGUCUGCAGUCCCUGCCCACAGCCUGGCAUCUCCCCCAGGGCCCCAGGUCCUCCUGCAGGCUAGUCAUGUAUGGCUGCAUUCCUAGGAGGGAAUGAUUUGUUUUCCCUUGAAGUCCAUCCUUCUAUAAUUCUUUCCAUGUAUUUCUCUGGAUUUGUAGGUUAAAAUCCAUCCCUGGCGGGGCACGGUGGCUCACGCCUGUAAUCCCAGCACUUUGGGAGGCUGAGGCAGGCGGAUCACCUGGGGUCAGGAGUUUGAGACCAGCCUAACCAACAUGGAGAAACCCCGUCUCUACUAAAAAUACAAAAUUAGCCGAUGGUGGUAGCGCAUGCCUGUAAUCCCAGCUACUCGGGAGGCUGAAGCCGGAGAAUCGCUUGAACCCGGGAGGCGGGGAUUGCGGUGAGCUGAGAUCGUGCCAUUGCACUCCAGCCUGGGCAACAAGAGCGAAACUCUGUCUCAAAACAAACACACACACAAACAAACAAAAAACAAACCAUCCCCAGCCUGCUCCAGUCCCCCACCCAGGGCUCAGCUCAGUUCUGGGAAUGCAAAUGGUAUCCUUUCUGCUGGACAAGGGGCGGAUGCUAGGUGAAGACCUACUAUGUGCCACACACCUGGCAGGGUCAGUUACACUCCUGCAGUUACUGAGCCCUUGCAAGUCUUGAGUGAAAGCUAAGAUUUUGCAUUAAAAAAGAGGACGCUGGGAUUUACUAUCACCACGACUAGACAACUUGCCUGAAGCUCAUGGAAGUUGGGAACCUUGUAUCAAAAUAGAACAACUGGGGACCUAAGCCAAUAUGGGAACCCAGAUCUGACUCCUGAAUUUAAGCCCUGCCUUGCCUCAUGGACCUACUUCAUUGCAUCCUUCCUGGCCACCAUUCCUCAACCAAACCUUCUUCUUAAGGAAGGGGGAAAAAUGAGCUAACAGCUGCUAGGAGAUUUGGAAUGAAUGUGAAGUUCUCCAGGUUAAAAUGGAGACCAAGGGAAAUUCAUAUGAUUCCACUUUCCUCAUCUCUCUGGAUCCCUCAUCGAGCCAGUAAUGUAUUCCCCCUUCUUGCUAACACACUUUUUAAAAUGUUAAUAGACUGUAAAUUACUUUUCUUUUUAUACUUCUUAAAAUAAGCGUUUCCUCUUGUAGAUGGCAAGACGACGCUGGAGUUACGGGCUUGGUUUUAUUACUGUCGAGAUGAGAUGGACUGGAGAGAGCUCAUACAGCUUUUAUAGGAACUAUUUUAUUUAUAAGAAUUUUCCUAAUGUCAGAUGGAUGUGACAUGCCUGGUUUCUUUCUGCCCGCUAUUGAGAGAAGAGAGAUGAGAAGACUGAGUCUCCGAGAGGUUAAGGAAAUGGGCAGGGCCCAGGAGCCCAAUCCAGGCUGGUGGAACUCCAAAUUCUACUUUCAUGCUGGUCCCUGCUCUGCCACAAAAACACAUUGUGACCUCAGGCAAUAUGGGGGCAAUAUGGGGAAACCAUCAUUUCCCUAUAUGUACCAUGAGAGGGUGGACUAAAUGAUUCCCAGGGCCUCUCUUUGCUGGAAGUGUGAAGGGCGCCCUCUCAGCACAUAUCUGUGGAGCCUCAGAUGGCUCUGACCCUGCACGUUGGAGGGCUGUGGCUAUCCAAGACCAGGCACUGUACCCUCACCACCCCUUGAGCAAUGGCUGACAAGAGGGGUUGUGGAGACAGUCACACCUGGUUCAACCUCUACUGCUAUGCCUUUCUCCCUGAACAACCGCAGUUCAUAGUGAAAUUCCUUAACCUCUUGGAACCUCAAUGUCCUAACCUUUAAAAUGGGGAUAGGAAGAAUGCUCAUCUCAUUGGGUGGCUAUGAAAUCCAAUGAAAUAAUGCUUUGAACUGACCGAGAAGGGUGUUGCAGUCAGAAGAAGGGGAAUGAGCAAAAGCCAGAGGCCACCAUCCCCAGUCUGUAACAUCUGAUCCUAUACUCACACAACAAAUACCUGAGUCACUACUGUGUACCUGGCCCAGCGCCCAGCAUUGGAAUACAAAGAUGAUGGAGAUGGACAAGGAGACACAUUCUCCUGGAGGAAACAAAAUAAUAGCCAAGUCUGCAAAUAGAUGAAUAAAUCACUUUUGCGGGGGGUGCAUGGGUUAAAUUCGGUGAAGAACUUAAAACAGGUGAGGGGCUAAUGAGCCUGGACAAGGGACAGAAUUAGAAACAUGAUCCACUUUGGGAGGCCAAGGCGGGUGGAUCACCUGAGGUCAGGAGGUUGAGACCAGCCUGGCCAACAUGGCGAAACCUCAUCUUUACUAAAAGUACAAAAAUUAGCCGGGUGUUGUGAUGCGCCUGUAAUCCCAGCUACUCAAGAGGCUGAGGCAGGAAAAUCACUUGAACCUGGGAGGUGGAGGUUGCAGUGAGCCAAGAUUGCGCCAUUGCACUCCAGCCUGAGCGACAAGAGUGAGACUCUAUCUCAGAAGAACAAAAACACAUGUUUGGGGAAGGCCUCCCCAAGAGGGUACUAUCUGAGUUGAGAACUCACCAAAUGAUGGUUUGAGCCACGCUGCCAAGGCGUCUAGGGAACAGAGUGUCAGCAGAGGGAAGAGCAAGUGCAAAGGCCCUGUGAUGGGAUUAGGCUGCUGGGCAAAUGGAACUGGGGACCAGGGGCCAUGCCUGCCCUCCUCUGGGGGUACUUUCACAUGGCUUCUCCACAUCACAUUCAAAUCUGGUCCCUAAUUACCAGUGGCCUCUUUCCUGCUACCUGGGAGAGCUGGGUCCUGCUGCCUCUUACUUAUAAUUCUCCCUCAUUUUAACAACCUACAUUUCAAUAUUAUGUCCCCACAUCCCAAGGCCUCUGGGUACCAGGUAUAUUUCUCCAAAUCCCAAUAAAUAAAUACAGUAAAUCCAUGUGCCUUCAGGGAUUUUUAUGGGCCAGUCUGCCAGGAAAAUGGGCUGGUUGCCUCGGAGGGCCAAGCUGACAGAGCCAGCAAGGUAAUUAGCUGCUGAGUUAUGGGGGCCACUUGAAGUCUAAUUAUUGAGAGAUUUGAGGCACCCGCCUCAUUUGGGUCCAGAUUUACAUGGUGCUCGACGGGCUCUUUUGGUAGGUGUCUCCGUGGGGAUGCAGACAGGAAGGCAGCUACUGGGUCUCAGAGAGGAGGGACUUGGAGGUAAAAGGCUAGAGGGACACCUAGAAAUGGGGUGUGCCUGGCGUGGAUGGUGGGCCAGGGUGGUGCUGCCUUCUUGGGAAGCCAUCUAUCUUUUCCUGCAGCACUUGCAUACUCUCUGCUUCUAUUUUGUUUCUCUGGUUUAGAGCUAUCUCAUUAUACCUAUUUGUUCACAAGUGUCUCCUACGAGUCUCAUUCAUUCAUUCAUUAAAGAGAUCAAGAACACCUGUGAUGCAUCCGUAUUUGAUAUAAAGGUGCAAGAGAUGAGAGAGGUUCUCUUAUUAAACUGUGGGUUCGACAAAUGGUGCACAAUAUAUAUUUGUUGUAAGAAUUCAACAAUGUGCUGUCUCAGUGCCAUAAGACCUUGCCCUGCUCACCACUUAAAUUCCAGGCUAUACAGGUUUAGAUUGUGUGUGCGUGUGUGUGCGUGUGUGCGUGUGUGCGUGUGUGUGUGUGUCUAUGUGCACGCGCGCAUGCGUGCUCUUAUGCAAACACCCAAAUUGAAAGUCUCCCAUGCUCCAGGCAGGUGCUAG